ACUUCUACUAUAAGAGUUGCUUAAUGAAGGAAAGAGCCUUGUGUUUUGAGCAGUGCGUAAGAUUACAUCACCCGGAUAAAUAUGCAUUAGGGAGCUCCUAAAGUUGGGAAUAGUGCCCACAGCGCCGGGAGCUGCUGCUGCUCAUCCCGGCCGGGCUCCGGGCCGCCCCCGCCGCUCCCUGUCCCUGCCGGGCAGCCACUAGAGUGACCGCCGGAGUCACCGCUGGAAUCGCGGCUGGCAUCACCCCCGGCGCCGGUGUCGGAGCAGCCCCGGCCCUGGAUGGAGCCUCUGGCCCUUGGCCUUUGGUUCCCGGCCAGUGGUUGCUCACCCAGCCCGACCGGAGCUCGGUGCGUGGCAGAGCAGCAGCGGCGUCCCUUCAGUGUCAUCCCAGAAUCACAGGAUCCUGAGGGCUGGAAGGGACCUCUGGAAAUCAUCCAGUGCAACCUCCCUGCCAAGGCAGGGUCACGCAGAGCAGGUGACACAGCGGUGGGUUUGGAAUGUCUCCAGAGAGGGAGAAUCCACACCCUUCCCGGGCAGCUGUUCUAGUGCUCUGCCGCUCUCAAUGUAAAGAAGUUCUUCCUCAUGUUGAAAUGAAGCUUGUUAGGUUUUAGUUUUUAGCCUUUGCUCCUCAUACUGUCAAUGGGUACCACUGGAAGGAGUCUGGUCCCUCCUCUUGGCACUCCUUUGAGAUAUUUAUCUGCAUUAAUGAGAUCCCCUCUCAGUCCUGUCUUCUCCAGAAUAAACAGGCCCAGCUCCCGCAGUCCCUCCUCAUCAGAGAUGUACUCCACACUCAUCAUCGUUGUGGCCCUUCUCCAGUAGCUCCUUGUCUUUCUUGUACUAAGAAGUAUCAAAAUGAAUCAGGAACUGGCAGGACAGUGAGGAUCACACCAACCCUGGGAGAGAUAAGCCUUUGUGCCAUUCUCUGAGAGGACAUGGCAUAAAGACACCAAAAUAAGGGCAAGCAGCCAAGUUGUGAACGACAUGCUGUGAUGAACUGGGAAAACAACAGGUUAAUUUCACUGCUGAACCGCUUUUGUGAACAGGACAGUGUCAGUAUCUAGUAGAUAGAUACUUAAUGAACAGUACAUUGAAAGUCACAGAAU